rnacentral:tRNA from 1 species
GCCGAAGUAGCUCAGGGGUAGAGCAGCUCACUCGUAAUGAGCAGGUCAGGGGUUCGAAUCCCCUCUUCGGCUCCA